UACGUAGGGCGCGAGCGUUAUCCGGAAUUAUUGGGCGUAAAGAGCUCGUAGGCGGUUUGUCACGUCUGCUGUGAAAACUGGAGGCUCAACCUCCAGCCUGCAGUGGGUACGGGCAGACUAGAGUGCGGUAGGGGAGACUGGAAUUCCUGGUGUAGCGGUGGAAUGCGCAGAUAUCAGGAGGAACACCGGUGGCGAAGGCGGGUCUCUGGGCAGUAACUGACGCUGAGGAGCGAAAGCGUGGGGAGCGAACAGG
rnacentral:rRNA from 1 species